CUCCUGCACCUCUUCAACUAUGAGGUUGUACAUUUGGGCAGACUCAUUGGGAAUAAUGUCGUCUCGGAUAUCCCAGACCUCGGAGCAACGUAAGCUAGGCAACGGUACAAGGCCUGGGGAGGAUGUUGGCUUCUCUCUGACAUUUCGAAAGAAGGAAAAAAAUGUAUUUUCUUUCCCGGGGAGGGUCCUCUUCAGACAGACAACUCUUCCAUCAAAUCACAGGUUUGGGUAGACGGGGGUUAAAAUGCGGGCGGGAAUUGUGCUCAUGUUUAUCUGGGCAACAAGUGGACACGGCAGUGACUUGCGUCCUGUUUUAGACUCGUCCUCUCUGUCUCAACUGACGCUGGAACAUUGGAACUCCCUGGCCCCCACCUUUGCAGCGCUCCAGGAUCGGAGUCAAAUCAGUUUUCAACUUGCAAUCAAUUCAGGAAAUCGUCAUAGAAAACAAUGGACAAUUUUCAAGACUUGUUGAAUUUCAACUCUCUUCCCAAGUUGAACAUUAAAUUGACCCCAAAUCCCCAGCACCCCACACCCUUUUCCCAAAUCCUGUCCAUUUCUCAACUCCAGUAAUGAUGGCACCAUCCCAACUAUAAGAUAUCGGGCCCCUUAAACAUCUGUCAGAUCUCUGUCAAUACAUUGACAGAUAUGGUAAAGGUCAGGUGACAUAGAGUGUUUAAUUCAUCUAAAGGAUUUGCCUCUUGGUCUAUGAUGGUGUUUUGGGGCUUCUUCUCAAUCAACAUUCCCUCUUGACUAGAUGGCAAUAUAUACUGUAUAUUAUUUAUGUCUCUCUCUCCCCCUCUCUCUCUCUUCCCCUCUCUCUUCCCUUUCUCUCCUCUGCUCCUGAAAGACUGAAAACCACAAAAAAGAAGGGGAAAAAAACCAAAAGCUUUCAGACACGGCAGAUUUAUCAGUGGCUUUUCUCUGUGGUUGUUUUCCCUGUUUUUCCCUCGCUCUCUCCCACAUCUGUUUAAGUUAUCUCUUUACAGUCCGGUGUUACCCUAGAAACCAAAGCAAACAGUGAGCCACUGCAGCCUCAGAGCACAAUACCUCCCUGUCUCCCUGUCUCCCUCGCUCCCUCCCUCCAUCUCUCUCUCUGCUUGCCCCCCUUCAUCCCAGAGGCUGCCCUGCCAAUCAGACUUCUAAAUUGAAUUCCUUUUUUUUCUCCUCUAAAAUAAAGAAUGAUGAGUUUUACAGUGUGUCGGGGGAGAGAAGUGGGGGACAGAGAGCGCUCUGUGGGAAUCUAUAAGUCUAAGGUUUGAAGAAUGAUAAAAGAAAGGAGCAUUUCGACACACUGUAAUAUUAUAUAAACUCAACUUUCUGGAGGGCUCUAUUUUUGCUCCUAAUCUUUUUGGGCAACCUAUCCUCUACCCUGAAACUGUCUUUUGUAUGAUACAGUGUCUAUCCAAAUAUCACAUGAAUGUCAGUACAGUCCAGAGAAAGGGGAAAUCCAGGACCCACACCUCUAUCUAAAGUCCUGUUUGCCAGACCGCCUCUAGGUGUCUGUAAUCACCCCCUUCCCCUUUCAAUGCCAUCAAUCUUCCAGUAUUUCAU
rnacentral:lncRNA from 1 species